rnacentral:rRNA from 1 species
GAUGAGCGCUGGCGGCGUGCCUAAUACAUGCAAGUCGAGCGAGCAGAUGAGGAGCUUGCUCCUCUGACGUUAGCGGCGGACGGGUGAGUAACACGUGGAUAACCUACCUAUAAGACUGGGAUAACUUCGGGAAACCGGAGCUAAUACCGGAUAAUAUAUUGAACCGCAUGGUUCAAUAGUGAAAGACGGUUUUGCUGUCACUUAUAGAUGGAUCCGCGCCGCAUUAGCUAGUUGGUAAGGUAACGGCUUACCAAGGCAACGAUGCGUAGCCGACCUGAGAGGGUGAUCGGCCACACUGGAACUGAGACCCGGUCCAGACUCCUACGGGAGGCAGCAGUAGGGAAUCUUCCGCAAUGGGCGAAAGCCUGACGGAGCAACGCCGCGUGAGUGAUGAAGGUCUUCGGAUCGUAAAACUCUGUUAUUAGGGAAGAACAAAUGUGUAAGUAACUAUGCACGUCUUGACGGUACCUAAUCAGAAAGCCACGGCUAACUACGUG